CCUACGGGAGGCAGCAGUGAGGAAUAUUGGUCAAUGGGCGGGAGCCUGAACCAGCCAAGCCGCGUGAGGGAAGAAGGUACUGCGUAUCGUAAACCUCUUUUGUCAGGGAACAAAGGCGGGGACUAGUCCCCGGAUGAGGGUACCUGAAGAAAAAGCAUCGGCUAACUCCGGGCCAGCAGCCGCGGUAAUACGGGGGAUGCGAGGGUUGUCCGGAUUUAGUGGGUUAAAGGGGUGCGCAGGCGGCCUGUUAAGUCAGCGGUAAAAGCCCGGGGCUCAACCCCGGCGAGCCGUUGAAACUGGAGAGCUGGAGUUGGAGAGAGGUACGCGGAAUGCGCGGUGUAGCGGUGAAAUGCGUAGAUAUAGCGCAGAACCCCGGUGGCGAAGGCAGCGUACCGGCCCCAAACUGACGCUGAGGCACGAAAGCGUGGGUAGCGAACAGGAUUAGAUACCCUAGUAGUC
rnacentral:rRNA from 1 species